UACGAAGGGGGCUAGCGUUGUUCGGAAUCACUGGGCGUAAAGGGUGCGUAGGCGGCGCGGUAAGUCGGGUGUGAAAUCUCGGAGCUUAACUCCGAAACUGCAUUCGAUACUGCCGUGCUUGAGGACCGGAGAGGAGACUGGAAUUUACGGUGUAGCGGUGAAAUGCGUAGAUAUCGUAAGGAAGACCAGUGGCGAAGGCGGGUCUCUGGACAGUUCCUGACGCUGAGGCACGAAGGCCAGGGGGAGCAAACGGG
rnacentral:rRNA from 1 species